rnacentral:rRNA from 1 species
CAUAGCGACUAUCGUGGCAUAUCAAUAAGCGGAGGAAAAGAAACUAACUAGGAUUCCCUUAGUAACUGGCGAGUGAAGCGGGAAGAGCUCAAAUUUGAAAUCUUCAAGGUUCUACCUUGACGAAUUGUAGUUUAAAGAAGUGUUUUCUGUUGAAGUUUUGGUAAAAGUUCUUUGGAAUAGGACAUCAUAGAGGGUGAGAAUCCCGUAUUUGACCAUAUUCUUCCAGCUGUGUGAUACACUUUCAAGGAGUCGGAUUGUUUGGGAAUGCAGUCCAAAAUGGGUGGUAAAUUUCAUCUAAAGCUAAAUAUUGGCGAGAGACCGAUAGCGAACAAGUACCGUGAGGGAAAGAUGAAAAGAACUUUGAAAAGAGAGUUAAACAGUACGUGAAAUUGUCAAAAGGGAAGCGUUUGACACCAGUGUUGUUUUCUCGAAAAUCAAUUAAAAUGGUGGAUGUUAGUGUUGUAUUAAGACUUUAUCAGCUUCUGCCUUUUUCCUAUCUUUUUUAAUGCACUUUUCGUUUAACAAGUCAACAUCAAUUUCUUUUGUUGUAAAAGAGUCAUUGGAAGGUGGCUUUCUUUUCGGAGAAAGUGUUUAUAGCCUUUGGCUUCUGCAAUCGGAGAGAUUGAGGUCUGCAGCGUAGAUCCUUCGGGGUUAGAUACAUUUGUGCUAAGUUAUAGCCUUUCAUAGACAACUUGUUGACUAUGAUCAGUCAUGUAGCUUACUCGCUUAUGCUAUUUUACCUACGCUUAGGAUGUUGAUAGUCACAGCGUGUAC